rnacentral:piRNA from 1 species
AUUUUAAAAAACCUCUAUGAAUG